AAAUAGUGAGAGUGAUGAGUAUUAUUUUCUAUAUGAUUUUGAUGUAAAAAUUCAGUUCUUAAAAGAGCUAUUACAAUGCACUUAUUUAUAGGACAAAUGUGAUUGACGAACAUUAAAAUAAAAUAGCCGUUUGAAAGCUUAAUGCAGAAUUAGCCGUUGUAUGAUAUUUCUUCUUUAAUACGUAGAAUCAUAGCAAUUAUGCCAUUGUCUCAUGAAAUCAAUUUGGCUAUGAUCAUAUAUUAUGCAAUUAUGAAAAACACGUAGACAUGCAAUAAUAUUUCACAAAUUAAAUCAAGUCAACAUUAAUGCAUGCUAAAUAAAAUGAUUUUAAAAUUUAAAUGUCAAAAAAUAAUUAUGCAAUUUUCAAAACAAUUAUGCAAAAAUAUUUUUAUCCAAAAUCACAUUUAAAUAAAAAUUAUUGUGAGUGUGUGAUAUAUUUUCAAGAGAGCUAUUUCUACUACUCACAUAAUGAUUUUAAUAAUAUAUGAAUUAUACAACUCAAUAAGUAUAUAAUUCAAGUCUUGAAAGUUUGAUAAUCUUUUCCGCUUUUUGCAUCAUUGU
rnacentral:lncRNA from 1 species